CUUAAACAAGAAAAGAAGAAAGUGGGCCCUCUCUUCCUCCAGAUUCUCGAUGUGAUCCACCAGCAAGGGAGGAUGCCAAUGGAAGAUGCCAGGACUCGCGUUGCAUAAAAAGGAGACAACGCAUCCCUUCCAACCUUCAUUCAAGCUUAGGAUUUGAAAACAAAAUAAAGCCCUCACCCAGUGGCUGAAGGAAGCAGAGACAGACAUCCACAGAUAUACACUGAGCUGAAAUCAGGAAUUUAGUUGAAGAGAGGGAGGAAUGAAGAACGAAAGGGUCUGUACCAGGUUGGAGAAACCCACAGGAACAGUUGACCUGAACAAGGGAGAGCACAUCGACCCCAGAUGCUGUCGGGGAGGCCAGUACAAGACUGAUCCAGACCCCUGAACAUGGAUGUCAAUAAGGAGGCCUCUGCACUCCAGGGAGCCUCUGGUGGUGGAUUAGUAUUUUUCCCUGGUGCAAGAAGGGACUUUGAGAGCCCAUCCCACGUGAAGGGAUACACUCUGGCCCUGGACACAUGGGGAAGGGCCCAGGCCCAGCCCAGGAAGAUUUGGUGGACUUUGCAGAGCCCCUGUUGAGGGCCCUACCCUGCCUGGGGAGUGGUGG
rnacentral:lncRNA from 1 species